rnacentral:rRNA from 1 species
GCAAGGAAUAUUGCGCAAUGGGCGAAAGCCUGACGCAGCGACACCGCGUGAGGGAUGAAGGCCUUCGGGUUGUAAACCUCUUUUCUCAGGGAAGAAUAAUGACGGUACCUGGGGAAUAAGUUUCGGCCAACUACGUGCCAGCAGCCGCGGUAAUACGUAGGAAGCAAGCGUUAUCCGGAUUCACUGGGCGUAAAGGGGGAGUAGGCGGCUCGACAAGUCGGUUGUAAAAUCUCCUGGCUCAACUAGGAGGGAUCAUUCGAUACUGUCGGGCUGGAGUGCAGCAGAGGAAGAUGGAAUUCCCGGUGUAGUGGUGAAAUGCGUAGAUAUCGGGAGGAACACCAGUGGCGCAAGCGGUCUUCUAGGCUGUUACUGACGCUGAGCACCGAAAGCGUGGGGAGCAAACAGGAUUAGAUACCCCGGUAGUCC